UCAAAUUUGUGUCAUUUUGGAACUGGACCCAGGAGAAUCAGUUCAGGAGCUACAAAUGGUUCACGACCCACACUUUGAACCCUCUUAUUCAUGAGUUAAUAGUCAAUGCUUGAAAAUCGACGUCUUCAUACGAGACUGAGCUUCAUCUAUCUUGCAAAUUAGGAACUUUUUAGUUUCUAGAUGUCGAGAGCUGGUAGACAUACUUCUCUUGCGCCUGUAACUUGAGGUUAAAAAUGGUUUUACGACGUUUCCACCUCACAGUUGACUAAGAACGCGAAUCUACGGUCCGACCAACGUCAACGUCAUCACCUUCCGGUGUACGCGCCUGCCUGCUCUCGCUCGUGUCUGAGAGAACCGCGUGCACAAACCUGCGCCCCUCAACGAAACUUGAGUUAAGAACGAGCAGCAAGUCCUCGUCUCUCAUCCGCUCCCUCACUUUCAGCUUGGUUAAAGCUCCCGUGGCUUAGAAACAAAACAUUUAAGACUGGAGCCAGUUCCUCUCCUCUCUGGAAUGGAUGCAAAGAGAGUGGUGACAGUUUCUGCCCGCGUGGAUGCUGCGGUUUCAUCAACUGGAAAGGGAAAAAGCUUGUGUGAAACCUGAGGAUCACUUGCAGACCUAAGAAAGCAGAAGAAGCACACCCUCUCUCUUUUACCUCAAGUGAGCUGUGAGGCAUGUGUUCACCAACCAAGGGAACCCAGUGGAUGGAAGACCAGCUGCACUUGCAUAAAAACCAUGGCUUCUCCAAGAAAGUCCUACUUAACUGUUGGUUGGUGCGCCGCAUUGUAACCUGGGCCUCUCCACACCCUAAAGAUGCUCAGGCCUCCAACCCGUUGCUGCAGGGGUUUUAAACUUCAGUACUUGGUGGCUGGUAGAUGGAUAUCUGGUCCAAUGCAACUGAAUCAAAUGGAUGAAUCACCACCUCAGCAUGUGGCCAUUUUUGCGGGCAUUUGUAUUUAAAAGUGGCAGGAUUCUCUCCCUGAUGAUGUAUUCUGAGGCUCCCGCUUUCAUAAAUCAUGCAGUUGAAAAUAUUACUCAGACAAAAAAACAUAGCUUUUUUUUUUUAUUUAUUUUUACUU